rnacentral:tRNA from 1 species
UUGGUCUAAUAAGAUAUCUGAUUGCAAGUCGGAUUUUUGGUUAUGAAACCAUUAGGUCU